rnacentral:ncRNA from 1 species
AGAGAGGGGCCCGCGCCUUGGAAAGCGUCGCGGUUCCGGCGGCGUCCGGUGAGCUCUCGGCGGCCCGUGAAAAUCCGGGGGAGAAGGUGUAAAUCUCGCGCCGGGCCGUACCCAUAUCCGCAGCAGGUCUCCAAGGUGAACAGCCUCUGG